rnacentral:rRNA from 1 species
ACGGGAGGCAGCAGUGGGGAAUAUUGCACAAUGGGGGAAACCCUGAUGCAGCAACGCCGCGUGAGUGAUGAAGGUCUUCGGAUUGUAAAGCUCUGUCUUUAGGGACGAUAAUGACGGUACCUAAGGAGGAAGCCACGGCUAACUACGUGCCAGCAGCCGCGGUAAUACGUAGGUGGCAAGCGUUAUCCGGAUUUACUGGGCGUAAAGGGAGCGUAGGCGGAUACUUAAGUGGGAUGUGAAAUACCCGAGCUUAACUUGGGUGCUGCAUUCCAAACUGGGUAUCUAGAGUGCAGGAGAGGAGAAUGGAAUUCCUAGUGUAGCGGUGAAAUGCGUAGAGAUUAGGAAGAACACCAGUGGCGAAGGCGAUUCUCUGGACUGUAACUGACGCUGAGGCUCGAAAGCGUGGGGAGCAAACAGGAUUAGAUACCCUGGUA